UAACACGGGGGUUGCAAGCGUUGUCCGGAAUUACUAGGCGUAAAGGGCAGGUAGGCGGAUAGAUAAGUUUGAUGUUUAAGGCAGCGGCUCACCCGCUGUAAGGCAUCAGAUACUGUUUAUCUGGAAUACGGUUGGGGAAGACAGAAUUCCUGGUGUAGCGGUGGAAUGCGCAGAGAUCAGGAGGAAUACCGAAGGCGAAGGCAGUCUUCUAAGCCGUUAUUGACGCUAAACUGCGAAGGUGUGGGUAUCAAACAGGAUUAGAUACCCUGGUAGUCCACACAGUAAACGAUAAUCACUAGGUGUUGGGUUCGAAGAGGAUUCGGUGCCGUAGCUAACGCGAUAAGUGAUUCGCCUGGGGAGUACGAUCGCAAGGUUGAAACUUAAAUGAAUUGACGG
rnacentral:rRNA from 1 species